CUCCUUGUAUUCCGAGUGAAUUGAUUGAGGUUGUUUCUCUCUAUAUUUUGUACUCUCAUAUUUAUAGUGGAUUGCUCAUCUCCUUUGUGGACGUAGGUCGAUUGACCGAACCACGUUAAAUCUGUCUCUUUUGGUGUGUUUCUCGUUUGUCUUCUUACUCGUGGUCUUUCGAGGUUUGCUUUGCUAGCUUCCGCAUUACACCUGCUUAUUUCGAUCCUAACAA
rnacentral:lncRNA from 1 species